rnacentral:rRNA from 1 species
AUGAACGCUAGCUACAGGCUUAACACAUGCAAGUCGAGGGGCAGCAUUUUAGUUUGCUUGCAAACUGAAGAUGGCGACCGGCGCACGGGUGAGUAACACGUAUCCAACCUGCCGAUAACUCCGGAAUAGCCUUUCGAAAGAAAGAUUAAUACCGGAUAGCAUACGAAUAUCGCAUGAUAUUUUUAUUAAAGAAUUUCGGUUAUCGAUGGGGAUGCGUUCCAUUAGUUUGUUGGCGGGGUAACGGCCCACCAAGACUACGAUGGAUAGGGGUUCUGAGAGGAAGGUCCCCCACAUUGGAACUGAGACACGGUCCAAACUCCUACGGGAGGCAGCAGUGAGGAAUAUUGGUCAAUGGGCGAGAGCCUGAACCAGCCAAGUAGCGUGAAGGAUGAAGGCUCUAUGGGUCGUAAACUUCUUUUAUAUGGGAAUAAAGUUUUCCACGUGUGGAAUUUUGUAUGUACCAUAUGAAUAAGGAUCGGCUAACUCCGUGCCAGCAGCCGCGGUAAUACGGAGGAUCCGAGCGUUAUCCGGAUUUAUUGGGUUUAAAGGGAGCGUAGGUGGAUUGUUAAGUCAGUUGUGAAAGUUUGCGGCUCAACCGUAAAAUUGCAGUUGAAACUGGCAGUCUUGAGUACAGUAGAGGUGGGCGGAAUUCGUGGUGUAGCGGUGAAAUGCUUAGAUAUCACGAAGAACUCCGAUUGCGAAGGCAGCUCACUAGACUGUUACUGACACUGAUGCUCGAAAGUGUGGGUAUCAAACAGGAUUAGAUACCCUGGUAGUCCACACAGUAAACGAUGAAUACUCGCUGUUUGCGAUAUACAGUAAGCGGCCAAGCGAAAGCAUUAAGUAUUCCACCUGGGGAGUACGUUCGCAAGAAUGAAACUCAAAGGAAUUGACGGGGACCCGCACAAGCGGUGGAGCAUGUGGUUUAAUUCGAAGCAACGCGAAGAACCUUACCAGGUCUUGACAUCCUUUGACCACUCUAGAGAUAGAGCUUUCCCUUCGGGGACAAAGUGACAGGUGGUGCAUGGUUGUCGUCAGCUCGUGCCGUGAGGUGUCGGCUUAAGUGCCAUAACGAGCGCAACCCUUAUCUUUAGUUACUAACAGGUUAUGCUGAGGACUCUAGAGAGACUGCCGUCGUAAGAUGUGAGGAAGGUGGGGAUGACGUCAAAUCAGCACGGCCCUUACGUCCGGGGCUACACACGUGUUACAAUGGGGGGUACAGAAGGCAGCUACACGGCGACGUGAUGCUAAUCCCAAAAACCUCUCUCAGUUCGGAUCGAAGUCUGCAACCCGACUUCGUGAAGCUGGAUUCGCUAGUAAUCGCGCAUCAGCCAUGGCGCGGUGAAUACGUUCCCGGGCCUUGUACACACCGCCCGUCAAGCCAUGAAAGCCGGGGGUACCUGAAGUACGUAACCGCAAGGAGCGUCCUAGGGUAAAACUGGUAAUUGGGGCU